AACGCGAAGAACCUUACCUGGGCUUGACAUACACCGGAUUGGGCUAGAGAUAGUCUUUCCCUUUGUGGCUGGUGUACAGGUGGUGCAUGGUUGUCGUCAGCUCGUGUCGUGAGAUGUUGGGUUAAGUCCCGCAACGAGCGCAACCCUUGUCUUAUGUUGCCAGCAUUUGGUUGGAGACUCAUGAGAGACUGCCGGGGUCAACUCGGAGGAAGGUGGGGAUGACGUCAAAUCAUCAUGCCCCUUAUGUCCAGGGCUUCACACAUGCUACAAUGGUCGGUACAACGCGCAGCGACACUGUGAGGUGGAGCGAAUCGCUGAAAGCCGGCCUUAGUUCGGAUUGGGGUCUGCAACUCGACCCCAUGAAGUCGGAGUCGCUAGUAAUCGCAGAUCAGCAAUGCUGCGGUGAAUACGUUCCCGGGCCUUGUACACACCGCCCGUCACGUCAUGAAAGUUGGUAACACCCGAAGCCGGUGGCCCAAACUUGUUAGGGAGCCGUCGAAGGUGGGAUCGGCGAUUGGGACGAAGUCGUAACAAGGUAACCUUAAUUAAAA
rnacentral:rRNA from 1 species